rnacentral:rRNA from 1 species
GACGAACCGUGCGAACGUUAUUCGGAAUCACUGGGCUUAAAGCGCGUGUAGGCGGACGGGGACGUCGGUCGCUGAAAUCCCCCGGCUCAACCGGGGAACGGGCGCCGAAACGCCCCGUCUCGAGGGACGUAGGGGGACCUGGAACUUCCGGUGGAGCGGUGAAAUGCGUUGAGAUCGGAAGGAACACCAACGGCGAAAGCACUCUGCUGGGCCGACACUGACACUGAGAGACGAAAGCUAGGGGAGCGAAUGGG